rnacentral:rRNA from 1 species
UACGUAGGGGGCAAGCGUUGUCCGGAAUCAUUGGGCGUAAAGCGCGUGUAGGCGGCCCGGUAAGUCCGCUGUGAAAGUCCAGGGCUCAACCCUGGGAUGCCGGUGGAUACUGUCGGGCUCGAGUCCGGAAGAGGAGAGUGGAAUUCCUGGUGUAGCGGUGAAAUGCGCAGAUAUCAGGAAGAACACCCGUGGCGAAGGCGGCUCUCUGGGACGGUACUGACGGCUGAGACGCGAAAGCGUGGGGAGCGAACAGGG